GUCUGAGAGGAUGAUCAGCCACACUGGAACUGAGACACGGUCCAGACUCCUACGGGAGGCAGCAGUGAGGAAUAUUGCGCAAUGGGGGCAACCCUGACGCAGCAACGCCGCGUGAGUGAGGAAGGUUUUCGGACCGUAAAGCUCUGUCGAGCGGGAAGAAAUGCAUGGUGGCUAAUAUCCAUCAUGCUUGACGGUACCGCUAAAGGAAGCACCGGCUAACUCCGUGCCAGCAGCCGCGGUAAUACGGGGGGCGCGAGCGUUGUUCGGAAUUAUUGGGCGUAAAGAGCGUGUAGGCGGCCGAAUAAGUCAGAUGUGAAAUCCCUGGGCUUAACCCAGGACGUGCAUUUGAAACUAUUCGGCUGGAGUAGGGGAGAGGAAAGUGGAAUUCCUGGUGUAGAGGUGAAAUUCGUAGAUAUCAGGAGGAACACCGGUGGCGAAGGCGACUUUCUGGCCCUAUACUGACGCUGAGACGCGAGAGCGUGGGUAGCAAACAGGAUUAGAUACCCUGGUAGUCCACGCUGUAAACGAUGUUCACUAGGUGUUGGGGGUAUUGACCCUCUCAGUGCCGCAGCUAACGCA
rnacentral:rRNA from 1 species